ensembl:lncRNA
AAAAAUGUUUCCAUAAACGCAUUUAAUGGCGUAACUAUGUUACUAUUUCCACCCAGAAUAAAGAUAGUUUUCGGCCGUGGCUGCGCUGGAGUCCGAGCCGAGGUAGGAAACCCAAACGCCGCCGUGUUUGUGUGAUAGAGCUUAGAUCGGGUUUGAUUAAAUAAUCUCUGAUAUAAAUAACAAUAAUCGGGUUGAAUAACUUCACAUGGUGUGUCUGGUGUGUUUCCAGCAUUCGUAGUGUUGAUCAGCAGAGAAAUAGUCCGCCAAGACGUUGAGGUUGCUUAGCAACCAGAGACUCUGUCCAUGCAAGUGAACGGAGCGUUCCCUCUUCGUCAUAACUAUCAAACCAAACAUCCUUCACAUUCACCGAGCGAACAUUAUGAAAGUAAAAUGCACAUUUCUCUCUAAAAAUGUUUCCAUAAACGCAUUUAAUAGAGUAACUAUGUUACUAUUUCCACCCAGAAUAAAGAAAGAUGUCGGCCGUAUGCUUCUCACGCGUUGGAGUUUGGCCCUAUAACCAGUGCUUAAUUUGUCCAGUGGGAGCUCCCGGAGCGC